rnacentral:lncRNA from 1 species
GAAAACUUGUUUACCAGGUUUCUUCCUAAGCUGAGUGAAUCUGGACACUUUCUAACUUGGAACAAAUCACACAGACAAAAUGAAGAUAAAAUGCCCCCAUCCAGGUUGCAGCCUGACACUUCUGCCUCUUUUCCCUCUGGGUAUAUCUUACUGGGUCUUUGCAGGUCAUGGCUGGACUGUUGUGGUGGGGUAACUGAAACAAACCGAAGAGACUGAUGGAAAAAAAAUCAAAAAGCAAGGGCGGAAUUUCAAAGCCUGGAUCAUAGAAGAAGGAAUGCUGCAUGACAAGCUCUUUCUUGCCCUGGAGACUCAAUGAUUU